GUCAACCGCGCCUUAAGAAAAACAUUUCAAAAUGGCGGCAAAGAUAGCGGACAUUGCGGCACAUCGAAGUUUCGGAAACUCUGUCGUUCUCUUGUAUUCUGAGGCUUGUUUGUGUUAGAAGUCUGGAAUCACUUGGGAAGAAUAUGAAGAUUUCUACCAGGCUACAUUGCCUUCAGUUAUGUUCCUGAUCUACAUACAUAUAGGAUACUCAUAUAUUUAUCAGUUGGACUGUUAUAGUAAAGUUCCUCAAAAUGGUGAAGCUGUGUGGGAUCAUUCCCUGACCUUUGGUGGGGUCGUUUUUGCUCUCUCCUUGGCCUCUUCAAAGGUUUCAUAGGACAGGGCCAUUCUUUGGACUUGUCUUGAACUGUAAGACUGACGAAGACUAAGCAGGUGAAGACUUCUUUUGAAGAACAGCUUCAGGGACAAGCACUAGAAUGUCACUAAGUGAUUUUUGAAAGUUUUCCUGGCAUUUUUCAUUGUAAGUGGCAUAUAUUGCUUCUCCAAUGCUUUUUAAUUUCCUUUUUGUGAUCUUAGGUUCUCUCUGACAUUGAUUCUUGACAUUUGUGUUAAGUUCAGUCAGAGGUCCCUUCCUAGCCCCUCUGCAAAACUUACUUAAAAGGAAGGUAGAUUGUAAUUGAGAGUUGAAUAAAAGACAGGCCUGGCAGCUGGUCAGCGAGUAAUCUUUUUUCCCUUUUUUACUUAAAUUACCUUGCCCUCAUUCCAGUUCUUUGAGGAAAAUGCUGUUAGGUAUGCUUCUUUUUCGGUUUGCUUCUCCAGUUGUGAAAUUUAUCAUCAAUGGUUCUCUAAUGCCGGAUGAAGUCUUCCCAUUUUAUGUGUAGCCCAGGGU